GCCCAGGUAGUGUAGCGGCCUAUCAUGCGGGCCUGUCACGCCCGCGACACGGAUUCGAAUUCCGUCCUGGGCG
rnacentral:tRNA from 1 species